rnacentral:miRNA from 1 species
UGUAUGUAUGUAUGUAUAUACACUAUGUAAUAUAUACAUAUAUAUAGAGAGAUCUCUUUCAUAUAUUAACAUAUAUAUG